UUAGGUAAANCGAACUGCUAAUACCGCAUAACGCUGCGAUGGGGCAUCCCGAUGCAGCCAAAGGAGCAAUCCGCUGGAAGAUGGGCUCGCGGCCGAUUAGCUAGUUGGUGGGGCAACGGCCCACCAAGGCGACGAUCGGUAGCCGGACCGAGAGGUUGAUCGGCCACAUUGGGACUGAGACACGGCCCAGACUCCUACGGAAGGCAGCAG
rnacentral:rRNA from 1 species